AUUUAUCUUCCGGCCACACACGAACAGACUCACGCCCAGUUACGUACACAACUGGUUUAUAGUAUAUAACCGGGGGACACCGUCCGUCUGUAGAUAUGUGGCUUGCGUUUCUGACUUUGUGCGGGUUUCUCUUCAGUUCAUCGGCUGCUGAUGAGAUUCAGGAGAAGUGCUAUGGCAAUAGUUUGACCUUGCCUUCUAAAUAUGCUCCGGCUGUUUACAAAGGACAGCUUUAUUUCACUCCCAGCAAUGGUGGACCCCAAAGGCUAAUGUUGGAAAAUGGAAAGGCUAAAGAUCGACGCCUCGAUGACUUGCUUUUUAACAUCUAUAUACGAGAUCUGAGAGUAGAAGAUGAAGGAUAUUUUUCUGUUUCCCAUGAUGGGAUCCAACAAUUCAGGAUACUUACCCUUAAAGUUUUGGAUUGUGCUGAUGAGGUCCACAAGCAUUAUGGAGAUACGUAUACAUACCGUGUCCCUAGUAAGGCUGAGUUCUUAGAGUUUACUCCUUUGAAAAGCUCGGACCAGCUGAAGAUUCUGUGGAAUCGCUCUGACUCCUCAGUCAGUUCCAAUGAUCCUGACAGUCCAGUGAGAGCUUUUUCUAAUGAUUUUUAUUGGGAGAGGCGAUAUCUUACUCAGAAGCAUAAUGGCUACUACAACUUCCGGGAGAAACACAACAUUCUUAUCUCGAGACUUCAUCUUAAAGUGGAAGAGAAUGAAGACAGCCUCAUUGGGAAGGUGGGGAGACAUCUACGGAUUACAUUUCCCUGGGCUAGGGAUGAUUGGAUUGGGACUUUUAGGCCUGAAAGUGAUCCAGACUUUUCUAUGACGAUUAAAAGAAGUCGAGUUCCAAAGAUCUGGUUUGAAGAUAGAAUUCAGGUGGAUUCUGAUGGCAUGGACAUAGAUCCUGUAGAAUCCAGCGAUGCAGGCAUUUUUGAGUUUCGAGAUGAAGAAGGCAACCUAGCUUGGGUUCUGGACCUAAAAGUAGAAGAUGAUAAUCUGACUGGGAUUAAAUAUGCGGCUGUGGCUGCCGUGAUUUUGCUGGCGGUGGUUACCUGCUGCUGCUGUUACUGCAAAAGGAGACGCAGGAAAAGGGAAUUGGCUACUCCUGCUCUACUUAAUUAUACUACUGAAACCCCUGCUGCGUCACCUGCUGCGCCACCUGCUGUGCAUCAUCGUGGGCGGAGUCAACCACCAACGUACACAACUGCAUCAGUUCCCCCUGCUUCAACUUCUCAGACAGUGAAUUCCCACGCCUCUAACAGAACUACAGAUACGUCUCAUGAGCCGCCGGUGUAUAAUCCAGUGAGCAUCCAUUUGAACCCCUCUCAGCGUGAGAUGUCUGUUCCCACACCUCCAAUCAGCUCAGGCUUCCUCACUUCAGAUGCUGAGCUUCGGUUUGAGCUGAAAGGAAUGACAUCGCCGUCCUCGCUACCUCUCUCUUCAGAAUCAACUGUGUGUGAUGUUUAUAACUCUGACAAACUAAACUUUCGCUAAAUUCCUUUCUUAUGCUAAAAAUUCAAAGCAAGUUUGAAUGUAUACUUCAGCAAUGGAGUGGUGCAGUAUAAGUAUUAGUGUUAAAUGUAAAGUUGCAGUUACAAGUGUGCAAAUAGAAAGUUUAGCUCAUAUCAAUAAUGUCUCUGGAUCCCACUGUGUAGCCAAGUGGUAUGAUAACAUUCUUAUGUUAUUGUGUUGUUGUGGUUUCUAUUAACUUCACUUGUUUGCCUUGAGGCUUGAUGUGAAAUUAAUUGUAACAUUUGGAUUUUUGUUACGUCAUCAUCAGGUCAGAAUUACAGGUUUUACUCCGCCUACUUCCAAAGACACUAGGAACUGUAAUCUUCUUUUUUAAGCUUUUUUUUUUUUUUUUUUUUUUUUUUUUUAAACUUCUAUCUUUUGUAUUAAAGGAGAAUACAAUUUUGUUACAAUCUUGACUUGCACUUAUACGUUGUAUAGUAUGUCUCUUAUAACUAUUUGUGUGACUGCAUUUGUGGUUUCAACUCAGAAAUGUGCCUUCAGUUGUAUAACUUUUUUUUUUAAUGUCUUUUAAAGUUUAACAUCUCUUGUGAAAAUACUGGAAAAAUGAAUUUACUUUAAAAAAAACCUGCAACAGUGUAUUAAAUACAUUGACUGACAUUUUAUUCAAACUGUGGUAUGCAAUAUUUCCAUUUGUUCUUUGUAUAACUCCUAAUGAAAUGCAUGAAUAUUUUGGUUUGGAAUAGAGUCCAAAAAUAAAA
ensembl:lncRNA uncharacterized LOC114471166